ensembl:lncRNA
CACAUAUUUAGAUGUAGCUUUUCCCUAAACUAUUUCCUUUUAUUUAUUGGAAAUAAGUACUCAUUUACAUCUUAGUUUGCCACAUUUACAGUUCUUUGAAAGUUUCAUCUAAUAUUCACCACACCAUUCACCUCACAAUUUUCCUCCCUCUUUCUAAAUAGGUGAAUUUGUUUACUGCAAAAUCGAUGGCUACGCUAUUAAAGGUUACUAUCAAGAUUUUAAAAGACAUGAUCACCAUCACCAAGAUUUACUUACCACAAGGAAAUUAUCACAAGGUUGGACAAACCGGCUCCAACUCUUAAGGGAAAGAGCUUGCGGUCAGAUCACACAGGGAGGGCAGGGAAGCAAGCAGGGAAGGGUAGGUCGGAAAAGGCAGUGCUUGAUUCAAUUCAACAUUCAGUGCGCCACUUACCAAGCGCCAGAAAAAGAAAAAAAAGCCAACGAGCUGGGCGUUAUUUCCAGCACGGGGCCCUGCAGGUUGGCCUGUGGGCGGGGACCCGGCGCCCGGGAGGGAAGGGGCUGGCUCUGAGACGCUAGCCGGGCGGGGACAGCCACCCAGGGCCGGGCCUCCAGCGCCCGACGCCCGCACACUCGCCAGCCCAGCUGCCGGUACGCCAGCCAGCCAGCCGCUGCCGCUUACCAGUGGCGCCUCGCUGACUCCCCGGGGGCACCUCUUCAACGGUUCCCGCAGUCAGAGCACCACCCCGCGGUGGGGUACCUCCAGCCCGCCCGCAGCUCUCGGUCCCCGCAGCUCCGCCACUCUCGCGAGAAGCCAGGAAGUCCGCGAAGUGGGGGGAGGAGGAGCAGGGAGGGGCACUUAACGGUGGCGGCUGGUUCUGCGCCGGAUCCGGGAGAGGGGCGGGCGCCAUUGUGCUUUGCUGCUGACUGCUUUUCCUCAGUCACAGGCCUAGAACUCCAAGGAGGAAGGCGGCGGUGCGGGUCGCUGCGAGCAGGACGCGCACUGGUCAGUGCCGGCUCAGGAGCCAGGACUGAACCAUGCCUAAACUCCUGCAGAGAUGAUUGUACGUCGUGUGUGGGAGAUGGGAGGCGUGGAGGACACAAGAGUGUUAUCUAGGAAAUCUUUAUUCUCCAGAGAAUAAAUACUCUAGGGGAAUGGAACUGGGGAAGAAU